AAAUGAAUUGACGGGGGCCCGCACAAGCGGUGGAGCAUGUGGUUUAAUUCGACGCAACGCGAAGAACCUUACCAGGUCUUGACAUCUUCUUGACCGGUGCAGAGAUGCAUCCUUCCCUUCGGGGACAAGAGGACAGGUGGUGCAUGGUUGUCGUCAGCUCGUGUCGUGAGAUGUUGGGUUAAGUCCCGCAACGAGCGCAACCCUUAUUGUUAGUUGUCAGCACGUCAUGGUGGACCCUCUAGCGAGACUGCCGGUGACAAACCGGAGGAAGGUGGGGACGACGUCAAAUCAUCAUGCCCUUUAUGACCUGGGCUACACACGUGCUACAAUGGCCUAUACAACGGGAAGCGAAGCCGCGAGGUGUAGCAAAUCCCAAAAAGUAGGUCUCAGUUCGGAUCGCAGGCUGCAACUCGCCUGCGUGAAGUCGGAAUCGCUAGUAAUCGCGGAUCAGAAUGCCGCGGUGAAUACGUUCCCGGGCCUUGUACACACCGCCCGU
rnacentral:rRNA from 1 species